UCAGAAAAGUGAAAGGUCAAAAGAUCAAGUCAUGCUUUGAUCUAAUGCAACUAUAAAUACCAUACUAGUUUGUACUUGCACAAUAUAGAAUCACUCACACAAGUACACCUUCUUCAGAUAUAACCCAUUUCAUUUUCAUUUUCAUUUUCAUUUUCACAACAAACAAAGAAAGAAAGAAACAAUGAAGUUAGUGUUGUUAACAGCAUUAUUGGUGUUCAUGGUUUCCCAGUGUUGUGAUAUUCUGAGGGUUUCAGCUGAUAUUGGGACCGCCACAUCUUACGAUCCUCCAUACUUGCCAACAAGGUGUGGAGGAUACAGCCAAGAUCAAUUCCCAGAAGAUGGAUACUUUGCUGGCACCAGUGAUGGUUUAUGGGACAACGGUGCCGCCUGUGGUCGGAGAUACCGCAUACGCUGCCCGUGCCCAAGUACUCUACUUCUUUCAAACAAAGCCUUCGAUGCCAUCUCCAGAUUUCCCAAUGCCAAGAUCAAUGUUGACUAUGCACAGUAAGCAACGUUUCUAGGGAAACACUAUGCACUUAACUAAAAAGAAAAAUGACUUUAUUUUAAUUUUUUGAAUCAUAACUAAACACAACACGGGACAUAAUUAAAAAACUCACGAGUCAGAAUUAAAAUAAUAUUAUAACUAAAGAAGAAAAUUGAUCAUAACUAAAAAUAAAUAAAUAACAUAAUCGAGGGUACAUAUGGUACACCCUUUUAAAGAUUAUAUAUUAAAAUUUCUCAUGUUUCUAUUUUGUAUUUUUACUUCUUGUAUUGUAUGCAUGCAUGGAUUGUUUUUGUGUUUGUAGAUGAAUGAUAUGCUAAUAUGUUGAUUUUUGCAGAAACAGCCCCUGCCCAAGUACUCUACUUCUUUCAAACAAAGCCUUCGAUGCCAUCUCCAGAUUUCCCAAUGCCAACAUCAAUGUUGAAUAUGCACAGGUUUGAUAGUAAUUAAAGCAUUUAUUUGCACAACUCGAAUCGUCUACAUUGGAGAUCUCAUUGGAAGAUGAAUGGUUAUGAAAUAGCUGAUAGUACCCCUUUUUGGAUAUGCAUUGCUUCUAGUUGUUUGGUUCCAUAAAAUAAAGAUUGGAAUGUAACGAUCAUUCCGUUCAAAUACUCAUCCUCAUGUUUCAUUUGAUAAAGAAGAAUGACAUGUAUGUAUGUGCAAUCACCAUUAAUCAAUUUAGAAUAAUGAUGAUUUCAAUAAGAGGUCAAAAAAUUAAUUAUUA